AUUGAACGCUGGCGGCAUGCUUUACACAUGCAAGUCGAACGGCAGCACGGGUGCUUGCACCUGGUGGCGAGUGGCGAACGGGUGAGUAAUGCAUCGGAACGUGCCCAUGAGUGGGGGAUAGCCCGGCGAAAGCCGGAUUAAUACCGCAUACGCCCUUAGGGGGAAAGCGGGGGAUCUUCGGACCUCGCGCUAUUGGAGCGGCCGAUGUCGGAUUAGCUAGUAGGUGAGGUAAAGGCUCACCUAGGCGACGAUCCGUAGCUGGUCUGAGAGGAUGAUCAGCCACACUGGGACUGUGACACGGCCCAGACUCCUACGGGAGGCAGCAGUGGGGAAUUUUGGACAAUGGGCGCAAGCCUGAUCCAGCCAUGCCGCGUGAGUGAAGAAGGCCUC
rnacentral:rRNA from 1 species